CGGGCCUGCAGUUGUAAUGUCGAUUGCAGGGAGGUAACCUAUCAGACAAGUAUUUCAACUGCCAUUUGGCCAACUGACAGCACAUGGUGUACAGUUGCUAAACGGUUCACCCUUGUGGAUAACUGUGAAAAUGUCACCGAAGGAAACCAUGGUGCUAAAUUUCAUCCAGAAAAGCAAAUAAUAAAAGAUAAUGCAUUAAAAAUUGAUGUAUAUUUUGAAAACCUCCGUGUUCAGCAAAC